rnacentral:rRNA from 1 species
GACGAACGCUGGCGGCGUGCCUAACACAUGCAAGUCGAACGGAACUGCUUCGAAGGAUUUCUUCGGAAUGACAUUGAUUCAGUUUAGUGGCGGACGGGUGAGUAACGCGUGGGUAACCUGCCGUAUGCAGGGGGAUAGCCUUCCGAAAGGAAGAUUAAUACCUCAUAACAUCAUUCUUUCGCAUGUUAGAAUGAUCAAAGGAGCAAUCCGCUAUGAGAUGGACCCGCGGCGCAUUAGCUAGUUGGUGAGGUAACGGCUCACCAAGUCGACGAUCGGUAGCCGGACUGAGAGGUCGAACGGCCACAUUGGGACUGAGACACGGCCCAGACUCCUACGGGAGGCAGCAGUGGGGGAUAUUGCACAAUGGGGGGAAACCCUGAUGCAGCGACGCCGGCGUGAGGGAAGACGGUCCUCUGGAUUGUAAACCUCUGUCUUCGGGGACGAAAGAAGACGGUACCCGAGGAGGAAGCCAACGGGCUAACUACGUG